GCUUGUCAAAUGUCAAAAAGUCUUACUAAUGAUCCUAUUCGUGAGUUCAACCCACGCCCACUGGCGGCUAAAUUAUAACUACACUUUGACUUUGACUAGUAAGUUGACACAUGCUUUGAUUAGAUGUCAUUGUGACUUAUUUUGUUCAGUUCUACUCAGCUUUUGCAAGCCUUUAAGCAAAUAGGAACAAAUUGAAACGUGUGGCAGCUUGUAAUAUUACGUACGUACAGUAAUCACUUUCUCCGUUUUUUACGGCCGAUUAAAGAGAAAUGCCAAAGACCGGUUAGGAAUUAGAUGUGGUGGAAUAUUGGACAGCUUCAAGUAAAUCUAAUGGUUUUUUCCGCAACUUUCAUCAAAUUACACCAACACCUCUUUUUCGACUGAAAAUGUGCCAUGAAGAAAAGUUUGACUCCAGUGGUGGAGCAGCGCAAACGUUCUCAGACUGCCAGAAACAUCUGUAUGAAAAUCAAGUCGUACUUUGGUGAAGCCAGUUUUCCAUCCAUUCUGGUCAGUAAGAAGCGACGCGUAAAGUAGACGGACUUGGAAAAUGCAAUAAAAGUUCGAAAGAUAAUGAAAAUGUUGAAGACAAUCGCAAAAAAUCAAUGAAGAUAAACUGAUAAGCAAUAGAUAAGUUAAGGUACAUAUACCAGAACCCAAAAGAUCAGACUGCAAAGCGCGAGAGGAAAAAAUCAAAAGUGAAGGAAAAACACGACAGUCAUGCUUGAACAACAGACACAAAGCAUCUAAUUAAUAAAGUGUAAUUAUUAAGAGCCGCUAUUGUUGUGCAAGCACAUAGAAACAAGAUUUGCCACU